CCUUUUGAUGUUCGUAACCUUUGGUAUCUCGUACCUUUUGGUCACUAACACCCUUUGGCAACUCACAACCUUUUGUAACUCAUGACUCUUGACAACUCGUGCCCUUUGGGUCAUUCCCAACCGUUCGUCCUAACCGCCCAGUCUUGGAGUAUUCGGACCGGCUGUCUAACCGACCAGUGUCUAGGCUAGCGGUUUGAUUAUGUUCGGCCAAAGCCUAGGGACGUGUCCCUUGGACUCAACCAACGCAAUCUUUCAUGUUUAACCAGAGAGAAGAGAAGAGAAUCGAAUUGAAACAGAUAAGGAGAGCCGGAUGGGACUCAGGAACCGAGCAGAGCCGGGGUGUGGUCGCAUGGACCGUCCUUUCGGUCUGAUGGAGCCACGGCCCAUCACGUACCUUGUGAACCACGUCUGGUUCUCCAUGCUCUUCUCCUUGUCUUGAUCUCCCAUUCUGGACCGGAGUUAGUUCCCAAAUGAUCAGUCGCCGAAACACAACACCACCACACUCGGCCUUUCUCUUGGCAGGAACUCUC
rnacentral:lncRNA from 1 species